UUCCACGUUUUUAAAAGAGUCCCAAAUAACUCACUUGAAGUGUCUCAAAGGUGAGCAAGUUUUAUGAAAAUGAAUCCUUCCUCAGUUAAUUGAUCAAAUGGGUGAAUCUUGACCCUCUCUAGUUUCUAUCCCAGGUCAGAGUGGGGAGCUGAUGUUAGCUGUGGGAUUCACUGCAGCGUCCUACCACAAAGGCAAAGAAGGUGAAAAUGCAGCGUGCAGUGCUGGGCUUGAUUCCCAAGUCGCAGGCUGGCUCCCGCUAUGGGUAGGAGGCUUUACACUCAGCCUGGGUCAGCACCGGAGCAUCCAGGCACUUCAGCUCGUCUGGGUAGUCAGCUGUGAGGAUCAGGAAGAGAUCAAAGAAAGUAGAAAUGUGGGUGAGGCCAGAGAAGGAGACAAUAAUCUAGGAUGGAACAUUGAAGAGGAACACUGCCUCUGGAGAGGACUCCAAAACGUGGUUGAGUUUCUGCAGGAUAUGCAAAAAUCAGUCUUCCCCCUGGUGGAACUGUGUGGCUCUUCACUCAGGAUGAGUCUUCAUGCACAAGCCUCGCAGCAUGCACCGGCCACUUACCACCGUUCUCCCAUCACUUUUCCAUCUGUCAUUACUGAACACCAGUCUGUGCUACUGUCUGGGUGUAGAGCAAAAAGUGGGGUGCAGAACUGACUUCAAAGAACUAAAGGAGGCCAUGACAGAGGCACCUGAAGAAGACCUCUACAUAGGCCUCAGAUAAAGAGACCUAAGAAUGGAGGAUCCUGAGCUGGCAAUAUAAAUAUGCACAAGGGCGUGACCAGCCAGGGGGUCCUUGACUGCAACUCCCUUCAAAGACUGCAAUGCAUUGGCUGUGAACCAAGUCUGGGGUGGGCAGAACAGCCUCUCCACACCCUGUAAACCUGCCAGAAUCCGCCUGUUAAAUUCCUGGUUGGCCUGCUGCUUGCCCCAAGUGGGACUGCAACCUCAAGGUAGCGAAGCUGUGGAUUUGUCCUGCUCAUUUCCAAGUGUUCAUUCCCAUGUUAAGCCAGCAAAGCCAAGGAUUUUCAACCCCCCCAGCCACUGCUCUGAAUUGAAUCUGUUUGUAUGGCAGCAAAGCUACUAGUUUUCAUGGUCAGCCCCAUCUUACUUAAAAGUCAUUGGCUGAGCUGGGGGGUGACGGGAGCAGCCACAGGCAGAAAAAGCCACAAUCUCCUACUUGCCUAAAGAUCUAGUAGUUUUUCAAGAAUAAAUGCUGCUCAAUU